UACGUAGGGUGCGAGCGUUUAAUCGGAAUUACUGGGCGUAAAGCGUGCGCAGGCGGUUUUGUAAGCCAGGUGUGAAAUCCCCGGGCUCAACCUGGGAAUGGCAUUUGGGACUGCAAGGCUGGAGUGCGGCAGAGGAGACUGGAAUUCCUGGUGUAGCAGUGAAAUGCGUAGAUAUCAGGAGGAACACCGAUGGCGAAGGCAGGUCUCUGGGCUGACACUGACGCUCAUGCACGAAAGCGUGGGGAGCGAAAC
rnacentral:rRNA from 1 species